rnacentral:lncRNA from 1 species
AAAAAACUCCAUCUCCAUUUAUGUAUCCAGAUAGAUAAUUUUUCAUGUUCCAACUAAUACCGAUCAAGCUAAUUUAGUACUCCAAAUCACAAAAAAAUCAUCUUCAUACAUGCAUCAAGAUAGAUAACUUAAAGCGCCAUAAUUUAAUUCUCCAAAUCAUAAAAAAUCAUCUCCAUUCAUGCAUCUAAAUUACAAAAAAAUCAUCAUAUUCAUUCUGGUGCAACCCAAGGUCUUGGUCUUGCCUUCCCCUUCCUCUAGACUUGCAUGUUCCAUGUGACGCAACAAAAAAAAAUUCAUCAACAUUAUGAAAGCACUAUACUUUAGAUUAUAUAAGACCUCAAUGACAGAAAAAUAUUCCUUCUUUGCUCAUUUUCCCCAUCAAACUCUGGAAGACCGGCCACAGACACAGAAAGCUAGCAAACAUGAUUACUCUUCCGUAGCAUCACCGAUGGUAACAUCAGUUUUCGGUCUCAAUGGAGUGAUCUUCGUUGACAAUACCUCUGCAAACAAUAGCACUCCCAACCUUGUAUAUCUUUGCACUUAGACGCUACUGCUGGAUACAAUUGGUACAUGUUAAUGGCUCUAUAAGGGAAUUGUGUCCAUUCAUGAUUAACGACUAGAAUAUCAGGAACCCUGUUGCACGCUUCGGGAACUAUGUCCAUUCAUAAUCAACUGCAACUAUGCAGUAAGGGUACCAAAACGGGUUCCAGCCAAAAAACAAUAGAAACCACUCCAACUAAUCCACAUUUCACAUCUUCUUCUAAACUGAGUAACUCUAGUCUUCAGGAAGAACAACAAAAAUUUCAGCAUCCAGCCAAAAGAAUAUUUCUCAGCUGCUACAGCUAACAGAAAAAUUUGCCACUGUGCGGAGUCUUUGGUUUUUAUUUUUUGUACUUUAUUCGUCAUGACCAUCCUCUUUUUAAUAGGACAUGCAACUCUCCUACAGUUCAGUUUUUUAGAAAGAAUCUAAUAAACAACAUCAUCCUUUUAUCUAGUGGAGCAUAUCAGAGUGGACUGAAAUGGUAUGGAGGUAGAGCUCCAUCGGACCAACAUCUAUUGGGUGAGGUUCAUCGAUGGUAGGAAAGUAAAAAAGAAGUUCCACACAGAAGAAACAAUAGUGGGAGAGAAAUGAUUGUUUUUUGUAGUCAACACUUCUCAAAUUAGUAGGAAAGUAAAAAGAAGUAAAAACUUCGUAUGCAUUAACUUCCAUCGAACAACAAAAACAUAAGCAUAUGUUGGCAACAGCUGACCUGAACAGGCAAGAAACUAGCCUUUGAAUAAUUAAGCACGGCCAUUUGCUUUCCCCUCACUUUGAAUUUUUCUACUAGUCUUGGAUAAACAUCAGAAAGUCAAUUUGACAGAAACAUAGGAACCAAAUUAGGCUAACUGAGGAAAGGGGACAAGAGAAAGAAACAGGAUCUGCCCAUACGCACACCAGCCUUGCCGAGAUCUGUCUGCCCGCUUGCUGCCUACUUCUCAUCCAUGCAUGGUGCUGCCGGCAUUGCCCAACGCCCAUACAAUCCUCCUCCUCUUCGCCUCCAUGGCGUGGUCCCAGGAGGAGGCGUCUAGCCGCAUAGCCGAGCCCCACGCAUCCUCGUACAUGACGGCUCGAACGAGUGUGGGUUUGGUGAGGACGAGCAACCCAUACAUGACGACGAUGAACACCAUGGAUAGUCCAAGCGUGACGCCGAACUUCUUGUUCGCCGCCUCUUUCCCCACUCAAAUCGGACUCUAGUCUCUUGCCCAAAUCGCAAGAAGAAACCCUAGCAAGAAGGUGCGGGAAGAGUCGAACUUACCCAGCAAGGUGUGAGAAGAAGUGAGGUUACCCCAGGAAGGAGG